UACGUAGGGUGCGAGCGUUAAUCGGAAUUACUGGGCGUAAAGCGUGCGCAGGCGGUGAUGUAAGACCGAUGUGAAAUCCCCCGGGCUUAACCUGGGAACUGCAUUGGUGACUGCAUUGCUGGAGUAUGGCAGAGGGGGGUGGAAUUCCACGUGUAGCAGUGAAAUGCGUAGAGAUGUGGAGGAACACCGAUGGCGAAGGCAGCCCCCUGGGCCAAUACUGACGCCUCAUGCACGAAAGCGUGGGGAGCAACAGG
rnacentral:rRNA from 1 species